rnacentral:rRNA from 1 species
CCUUUGGAAACGAAGAAUAAUACCCUAUAAAACCAUAAAAGCACAUGCUAGAAUGGUCAAAGUGAUAGCGGUGUAAGAUGGACUUGCGUCUGAUUAGCUAGUUGGUGAGAUAAAAGCUCACCAAGGCAACGAUCAGUAGCCGGCUUGAGAGAGUGUACGGCCACAUUGGGACUGAGACACGGCCCAG